rnacentral:rRNA from 1 species
GGUUGAUCCUGCCGGACCUGACUGCUAUCGGAUUGAUACUAAGCCAUGCGAGUCUUUGCAGUAAUGCAAGGCAUACGGCUCAGUAACACGUAGUCAACUUACCCUAUGGACGAGGAUAAUCUCGGGAAACUGAGCAUAAUACUCGAUAGAUCAUAAUGCCUGGAAUGGUUUAUGGUUGAAAUGAUUCGUCGCCAUAGGAUGGGACUGCGGCCUAUCAGCUUGUUGGUGAGGUAAUGGCCCACCAAGGCGAUUACAGGUACGGGCUCUGAGAGGAGAAGCCCGGAGAUGGGUACUGAGACAAGGACCCAGGCCCUAUGGGGCGCAGCAGGCGAGAAAACUUUGCAAUGUGCGAAAGCACGACAAGGUUAAUCCGAGUGAUUUCUGCUAAAGAAAUCUUUUGCAAGUCAUAAAACCACUAGUGAAUAAGGGGUGGGCAAGUUCUGGUGUCAGCCGCCGCGGUAAAACCAGCACCUCAAGUGGUCAGGAGGAUUAUUGGGCCUAAAGCAUCCGUAGCCGGCUCUGUAAGUUUUCGGUUAAAUCCAUGUGCUCAACGCAUGGGCUGCCGAAAAUACUGCAUAGCUAGGGAGUGGGAGAGGUAGACGGUACUCGGUAGGAAGGGGUAAAAUCCUUUGAUCUAUCGAUGACCACCUGUGGCGAAGGCGGUCUACCAGAACACGUUCGACGGUGAGGGAUGAAAGCUGGGGGAGCAAACCGGAUUAGAUACCCGGGUAGUCCCAGCUGUAAACGAUGCAGACUCGAUGAUGCAUUGGCAUAUAGCCAGUGCAGUGUCGCAGGGAAGCCGUUAAGUCUGCCGCCCGGGAAGUACGUACGCAAGUAUGAAACUUAAAGGAAUUGGCGGGGGAGCACCACAAGGGGUGAAGCCUGCGGUUCAAUUGGAUUCAACGCCGGG